AUUGAACGCUGGCGGGAGGCCUAACACAUGCAAGUCGAACGAGUGGCGGACGGGUGAGUAAUGCUUGGGAAUCGAGCCUAUGGAGGGGGAUAACUAAGGGAAACUGUAGCUAAUACCGCGUACCACAGGCUGAGCCCAAUUGGGAUUAGGUAGUUGGUGGGGUAAAGGCUCACCAAGCCGACGAUCUCUAGCUGGUCUGAGAGGAUGACCAGCCACACUGGGACUGAGACACGGCCCAGACUCCUACGGGAGGCAGCAGUGGGGAAUGUUGCACAAUGGGGGCAACCCUGACGCAGCCAUGCCGCGUGAAUGAAGAAGGCCUUAGGGUUGUAAAGUACUUUCAGCGGGGAGGCGUUACCCGCAGAAGAAGCACCGGCUAACUCCGUGCCAGCAGCCGCGGUAAUUC
rnacentral:rRNA from 1 species